rnacentral:rRNA from 1 species
UACAGAGGGGGCAAGCGUUGUUCGGAAUUACUGGGCGUAAAGGGCGCGUAGGCGGCCUUCUAAGUCGAACGUGAAAUCCCUCAGCUUAACUGGGGAACUGCGUCUGAGACUGAUGAGCUUGAGUGCAGGAGAGGAAUGCGGAAUUCCAGGUGUAGCGGUGAAAUGCGUAGAUAUCUGGAGGAACACCGGUGGCGAAGGCGGCAUUCUGGACUGCAACUGACACUGAGAGACGAAAGCCAGGGGAGCAAACGGG